GGUCAAAUGGCUGAGAUAAGGCGGUAGAUUGUAAAUCUACACACGGAGGCACUCUCCUUUGGUCA
rnacentral:tRNA from 1 species